rnacentral:snRNA from 1 species
AGAGUGGCCUGUCUGUGAUGUGACCAUCUUGUUGCUCCUGAGGUUGGGUUUGGCUGAUCUGGCUGGCUGGUGUCUCUUCCCUCCUUACACCUCAAUGCGCAUCCCUCCCACAUCUGGGCUCAGGGAGUGAGGGUGACCUCCUUGCCCAGGGGAGUACCGUCAUUUGGUCAAAGGUCUGCAGGAGGCUGUGCUUCUCUGUUUAAGACUCAGCGAAAGUAGAGAAAUCCCGAAGUGGGGAGCCACUCUUG